AUACUACGGUGGAACAGCAAGAAGAAGAAGAAGAGAAGGAGAGAAAGAAGGAAAGGUGAGGGAGCUGUUGCCAUCAUGUUUGUGGCAGUACCUACUGCUGCACCUGCAAAUUGAGAUGGUGGAACCGGUGCUCAGGCAGGAAUGGACUUUGGCAGCGGUUGUGAGGCUUGUCACUUGUGUCUACGAGACACCAGGAUGCUGAUGGACAUCACUUCUGCUAUUUCAGUUCUUCCUUUUUGAUUUAUGGAAUGUGUAGUAGGUAAUACUGUAACAUGUGGUUGUUUACAGACAUGGAAAUUUGUAUUAUAUAAUUUAUCAUUUUAGUACAUCACCAGUGGUAAAUGUAUGAUUUUAUUAGUGUA